AUGAGAGUUUGAUCCUGGCUCAGGACGAACGCUGGCGGCGUGCCUAAUACAUGCAAGUCGAACGCUUCUUUCCUCCCGAGUGCUUGCACUCAAUUGGAAAGAGGAGUGGCGGACGGGUGAGUAACACGUGGGUAACCUACCCAUCAGAGGGGGAUAACACUUGGAAACAGGUGCUAAUACCGCAUAACAGUUUAUGCCGCAUGGCAUAAGAGU
rnacentral:rRNA from 1 species